AUGCAGGUCGUGGUGGUACUUCUCGAGGUAGUAGUAGGAGAAGGCCGGGUCGUGUGCUCGUCAGCAUGCAGCGAAAAACGCUGUUGCUGCUCGAAGAAGGCGGCGACGCGCUUGCGGCCGAACGGAGGGAGGAAGAGGCGCGGGCGCGAGGUGACGAAGCAGCAUCUGCAAGGGCAGAGCAAGGUCGGCACUGCGGCGCAGCUCGACGGCGGCAAGGCAGCAAGGGGAACCGGGCAGGAGGAAGGAGAGGCCGGCGGCUGCGUACAAGAAGCAACCGAGGCGCGGCUUCGGUCCAUGGCGACGGCGAGGCGGGUCAAGGGUGGCGGCGCUCCUGGUUCCAGCGGGAGGAAGAACAUCCCAGUCGCCGCUCGGGAGGCGCGAAGCAGAGGGAGGAGAGGAGGCUCCAGCUUGGUCGUGGCCUCGUCGGCCGGCGAGGUGGAGCUCCGGCAGUGGCUCGAUGGACAGAGGAGCUGGGUGGCUAUGCGCGGGAUCCAGAGAGAGAGAGAGAUGGGGGUCGCGUGGGAUCGAGAGGAAAGGGGUCGAGGGGAUCGGGAUCGAGCCGAGGGCUCUGCGGCACUGAGGAGAAGGGUUCGGCUGCACUAG
rnacentral:rRNA from 1 species